ensembl:ncRNA mir-961 mir-961 stem loop
UCAAGGGCCGAGUUACCUUUGAUCACCAGUAACUGAGAUUGUUUCUGAUACGGUUUCGUUUUCUGGCAAUCAAAAGAACUUGGACUCGA